rnacentral:rRNA from 1 species
GAUGAACGCUAGCUACAGGCCUAACACAUGCAAGUCGAGGGACCGGCGCACGGGUGAGUCACACGUAACCAACCUGAACUCUACUAGGGGAUAGCCUUUAGAAAGACAGAUUACUACCCGAAACACAGGAAGGGGAUGCGUUCCAUUAGUUUGUAGGUGAGGGAACGGCUCACCAAGCAUUCGAUGGAUCGGGGUUCUGCGAGGAAGGUCCCCCACAAUGGAACGGAGGCACGGUCCAAACUCGUACGGGAGGCAGCAGUUAGGAAUAUUGGUCAAUGGGCGGUAGCCUGACACAGCCAAGUAGAGGGAAGGGUGAAGGCUUAUGAGUCGUAAACUUCUUGUAUAGAAGAAUAUGUAUUAUAUGAAUAAGGAUCGGCUAACUCCGUGCCAGCAGCCGCGGUAAUAC